rfam:Anaerostipes sp. CAG:276 genomic scaffold, scf204
CUUUAUAUACAGGGGUGCUGGCAGACUGCCGGCUGAGAGUAAGACGAGAAGAGGUCUUUAACCCUUAUACCUGAUCUGGGUAAUGCCAGCGUAGGAAUAAAACAGUACAGCUGU